UACGUAGGGUGCGAGCGUUAAUCGGAAUUACUGGGCGUAAAGCGUGCGCAGGCGGUUUUGUAAGUUAGAGGUGAAAGCCCGGGGCUCAACUCCGGAAUUGCCUUUAAGACUGCAUCGCUAGAAUUGUGGAGAGGUAAGUGGAAUUCCGAGUGUAGAGGUGAAAUUCGUAGAUAUUCGGAAGAACACCAGUGGCGAAGGCGACUUACUGGACACAUAUUGACGCUGAGGUGCGAAAGCGUGGGGAGCAAACAGG
rnacentral:rRNA from 1 species